UGAUGCCCCAUGCAAUGCAAAAGUGUCCAAAAAGUCAUGCGUUAGGCGGUGGAAGCGCGUGGCGUAGCGUCCAGACAUGUCAGAUCACUGAUCAAUACUAUACCCAAAUAGGAAAAUGCUACUCUCACAGAUAUUACUCACCGAAAUCCUCCACCGACUGACACGGUUUCUGCCACCUGAAAAUAUAAAUAAAAAAACAAACUGAAAAUGUACAACCUCAUCUCCCUGAAGCGUCGUCCCCCUCGUCUCCCUCAACACGUUGAAAGCUGAAACUGUCAAAUCCAAACUGAAUCGUCUCCUUCAUCUCCCUGAACAUGCGAAGUGUCAAAUCCAAACUGUAAAUCGAAAAGGAAACCUCGUCUCCCUAAAAUUGUAGAACCCAUCUCGUCAACAACUCGGCAAGAUGAAAAUGGGUCUCCUGGGCAAGUUUUUAGUUUCGGAGUUGUUUUUGUCCUUUUCUUCAUUUGCUUACCAAAAGAAAAUUUUAUUCUUGAAGUAGUGUAAUCUUAAUUAUGGAAUCCAAAUCAAUGUUUUGGAGAACGAACGUACUGCAUUGACAUUUAUGGUUUCUACUUCAAAUAAAGUCUCUUACUUGAUACUCUGGAAACAUUUCUGGGUCAACCUUAAGGGGACUUUUUGCACCAGAACUGGAGUGGUUUUGGCCGGCGGGAGGCGUUCCAGAUCUAGACGAUGGUGCCGGAACUAGAGUUCUGCCGGUGAGGACUUCUCAAGACGGCGGGAGAGGCAUGAUAGGUUGGUUUUCCUUUUUUUUUUUAGGUACCAAGGUGUCUGUUUCAGAACAAGGACGAAUCACGAUGAAUCAUGCCGGAACAAGGCAUGGUGGGUCUGUUUUUGUUUUCUUGUUUUUUUAAUUCAUCUGGCAUGCCAUGUAGGGUCCAUCUCAGUCGGUAAAAAUUUUCUGUAGAAAGUUUCUUUGAC